rnacentral:lncRNA from 1 species
UCAAAACCUUGACUGAGCGUGUUCCUGAACAACCUUGCUGUAGCUGACCCUGUUUGCGCAGGACAAUGGAGUAGGCCAUUUUCCAGCCCCAACCACACUGUGCUUCAAUAGGUUCAAGAAAAGAAAUUCAAGAUCCAAGGACUGCUUGUGAAGAAUUCUGACAGACAUGAUAUUUGUUACUGAGAGCAAUUCAAAAAAGGAAGCUUCUGUGUUUUGAUGACAAACAAGGAAAUACGAACAGAAAACACUUUGACAGAAAAACAAAAAGAGAAACAACAAAAAACCAACAACUACUGGAAGUAACAUUUUAUGUGACAACAGAUCUGACUGAAAUAGAAGAAACAAAAUAAAAGAAAUUGAAUUUAUUAAGUGAUUAUACUCUACUUGAAAGAUCUUGAAGAAAUGUAGUAAAAAAGUACAAUAAAGUUUGAAAUUGAAG